rnacentral:misc_RNA from 1 species
GAUGAAGAACGUAGCGAAAUGCGAUAAGUAAUGUGAAUUGCAGAAUUCAGUGAAUCAUCGAAUCUUUGAACGCACAUUGCGCCCGCCAGUAUUCUGGCGGGCAUGCCUGUUCGAGCGUCAUUUCAACCCUCAAGCCCAGCUUGGUGUUGGGGAUCGGCACAGGCGCCCUCGGGCGCCCGCCGUCCCCUAAAUCUAGUGGCGGUCCCGCUGCAGCCUCCUCUGCGUAGUAGUUUUCUCCUCGCAAGGGCAGCUCGGUGGCGACCUCGCCGUAAAACCCCCAACUUCUGAAAGGUUGACCUCGGAUCAGGUAGGAAUACCCGCUGAACUUAAGCAUAUCAAUAAGCGGAGGA